rnacentral:misc_RNA from 1 species
UUUUUGCGUAUGAAUAAAUUGUAAUGGAAAUAUUUAUGUUAUCACAAUGUACGUGAUCUAGUAUUAGCUAGUUAAACACUUGUAACUGAGUGGAAAUGAAUAAUCACAUAAUGAUGUUCAGGUUAAGAAAUGGAUGUUAUUUAUCAAUAUAAAUAGAACUACUUUUCAAUGCGUAGUACUGUCUUGGGUGUUGUACGGUUUUCAUCAUGUCUGGUAAUCACUCAAGAUGAUGAGAAGAAAACCGAUCUGGAUUAACGAUAUUCCUGUUAAAAUAGGUAUAAGGGAGUGAUGUAGCCAAACCAGAGAUUUAGGUGGGUAGAUCCUGUUUCAUUCUGUGGAUUAAGAUUAAAAACUGGCGUGAUGGGGAAUUGUUUACGGAGAGACAACACAAGCAAUGUCCCUGGUACUCAGACGACUCCCCAACACAAGGCUGCACAGGAACUGUCAAAUGGGACACCCACUGUCCCCAUUCCCGUGGCAUUGUCCACCCCGCCCCCCUCAACAAGCCCCAUAGUGUCCAUAUCUUCCACCCCACAGCCGGAGCCUACGAGUGAGACCACUCCGACAACUACCAAAGUGUUCGUAGCAUUGUAUGACUACGAUGCUAGGACUGCGGAGGACCUCAGCUUCCGGAAAGGGGAACAUUUAGAAAUUAUAAACGAUACACAAGGUGACUGGUGGUAUGCUCGGUCGAAAACAACACAAAACGAGGGAUAUAUACCUUCUAAUUAUGUGGCUAAGUUGAAGAGUUUGGAAUCGGAACCAUGGUAUUUCGGAAAGAUUAAACGUGUUGAAGCAGAGAAAAAAUUACUUUCAAUAGAAAAUGAACAUGGUGCUUUCUUGAUAAGAGACAGUGAAAGUCGAAGAAAUGAUUAUUCCUUAUCAGUACGUGAUGGAGACACUGUCAAGCACUAUAGAAUAAGACAAUUGGAUGAGGGUGGCUUCUUCAUUGCGAGACGAGUUACAUUUAGAACGUUAUCAGAUCUUACAGAUCACUAUAGUACAGACCCUGAUGGAUUGUGCGUCAACCUUCGUAAACCCUGUACUCAGAUUGAAAAGCCCCAGACUGUAGGACUUUCUUACAACACAAAUGACCAAUGGGAAAUCCCCAAGUCGUCGCUCAAACUCAUACGCAAGAUUGGACAUGGCCAGUUCGGAGAGGUCUGGGAGGGACUCUGGAACAACACUACACCUGUCGCCAUCAAGACCCUCAAACCAGGUACGAUGGAUCCGAAGGACUUCCUGGCCGAGGCCCAGAUCAUGAAGAAGCUGCGACACCCUAAGUUGAUCCAGUUAUAUGCUGUGUGUACCCAGGAUGAACCGAUCUACAUUGUCACCGAGUUGAUGAGACAUGGCAGUCUGCUUGAGUACCUUCAAGGUAAGGGGCGGAGUCUGAAGCUCCCACAACUGAUAGAUGUUGCUGCCCAGAUUGCUAGCGGUAUGGCAUACCUGGAGUCUCAGAACUACAUACACAGAGACUUGGCCGCAAGAAAUAUCCUGGUCGGAGAUGCUAACAAUGUCAAGAUAGCCGACUUUGGGUUGGCCAGAGUCAUUAAGGAGGACGAAUAUGAAGCCAGAGUGGGUGCCAGAUUCCCCAUCAAAUGGACUGCUCCCGAGGCGGCUAACUACAACAGGUUCACCAUCAAGUCUGAUGUCUGGUCCUUUGGAAUCCUUCUCACAGAAAUUGUUACCUACGGCAGAAUACCAUAUCCAGGUAUGACGAAUGCUGAAGUGCUACAUCAGGUAGAACAUGGCUACCGUAUGCCCAACCCCCCGGGCUGCCCUAAGCCACUCUACGAGAUCAUGCUGGAGUGCUGGAGGAAGGAAGAAAUGGAACGACCCACAUUUGAGACACUACAGUGGAAAUUAGAGGAAUAUUUCGCCAAUGAGGGCACCGACUACCGUGAGGCUGGGGCUGUCAGAUAGGACAAGGGGGAUAACUCUAGUGUCUACCAGUAAACAGGAUAUAAACACUGCCUUGCUGUCAUGAGAAGCUGCUACAUGUCUGGCUGUACCAGACUGGACUACCCGGACCUACUGUGGACAGCUACGUCAGAUUGACAGCUGUUUUAUAUGGAGGACUCUAACCAUCUUGCUGUCCACAAGUGGUUUUAAAUGUUUUACAAAACAAGUAUUUUUUUUAUUUAUUUUAACAAAUUGGAGAUGUCUUUUUCUCAAGAUGGCAUGCAUAGAUGUAACAAAGUAUAAUUGGAUGUAUUUACACCCAGAAUACCUGGAGACGUACUGUCAAGUGCAUUGUUGUGUGGUGGGAGGCUAAAAUAUGAAUGGCCAGUCAUUAUCUGCCCUGCUUUUCUUGGCAUGGUUCAACAUUUAAUAUGUGCCUCUAGAGAAAUGGCGCAUCAGCUCCAGCCUUCUGUAGGUGGAUAUAUGUGCCUCUAGAGAAAUGGCACAUCAGCUCCAGACUUCUGUAGGGUGGAUAUAUGUGCCUCUAUAGAAAUGGCACAUCAGCUCCAGCCUUCUGUAGGUGGAUAUACUUCAAUGGUAGAUACAUGGAUACUGGUGACGAUCGCAGUGAACAGUACUGAGGUACAUAUACUUACAUUACAUGUUGUCACAAAAAUUACUUGGAUCCAGCUAAUAUUGGUGUUCAGGAUCACAUAUGAAGAAGGAAAAAUUACCAUUGAAUCUUGUUUCUAAGUCCACAGUUCUUUUGUCGUGUGGAUGCCUUGUUGCUUUUAAAUGACAUUCUACGAUUUGAUUAGUGUUUGGAAAAAAUGUGCUUUGAAUCGGUGAAAAAAAUAUUAUAGGUUUAAAGUGUAAUUGACUGCACAUUCAUGUCUUUGAUUUCAAACAAGAAUGGUCUUAGCUUGGAUCUGCAUAAAUUUCAUAUGUAUUAAUUAAUUGGUAAAGUUGAUGUGUAUACAUUCAAUGAGUUGUGUAUUGUAUAGACUGUGUACAGUAUCUUUGAAGACAGAACACUCAUUUUGAAUUGUAAUGUGUUCUGAUUGGUUGGAGGUUAGGUAUACCGGUUAUUCAAAUUUACUAGUCACUGUCUAGAACUAACACAGGAUAUAACGUAAAACACAAACGCAUAUUCCUAAGGUCACAUUACUUCAGUUGUGAAGAAAUGAAAUAUACCAUGUUAAUACAUUUGUACCCCCAAAAUCCAAGUCAAACUUUGGUUUGUCUCUAAACUUGUUAGAAUGAAAUGAUCAUAUUUCAUUUACAAACUUACAGCUGUCACUAAAUUAUGUUUCCUAUUGAAAAUAUUUUGCAUUUAUAUAAUUCACAAAUCUGAUUGUCUGAUGAAAUCAAGAUUGAUUUUUGAAUGCAUUAUCAUAAAAUAAAUUUGGGAAUGAGUUUUACAUUAACUCUUUUACCACCGUAGACCAUAAUGGACUCGCCCAGAUAAAUGUAUGGUAGAGUCUACUAAAGUUACUUAGGGGUGAAAUGGUUAAAUAGUGACUGUUAACUGUUAUACAUACAGGGUGUAAUUCACACUGUAAGGACAAUGUGAUAGAACUCCCUUUUAUAUGCCUCCAUUGGUUCGUUAUCACAAAAUGCAUUCAUACAGUGCUAAAUCUUUAUAUUGAUAGAAUGGAUUGUCAAUGCUUUGCCUUUAUCAUAUAUACUAUCCUACAAGGGUACAAUGUACUAUCACCCCUACGUCACAAUCUACCCACCAUUUUGUUACAGUCUUGUUUGGCUACAGAUCAAAGCUACAUAUGAAUAUAUAUACGAUACAAACAUUUAUAUAGCUGCAGGUUUUGAAUUUAAAAGGGGAAAUAUCACAUUGAAACAUAUAUAUAUCUACAAUAAAUAUUAUGUAAGUAUUAUGAUACUUAAGAUAUGUUAGUUUUAUAAAUCUCUUGUAACUUUUUCAUAUUCCUGACAGAAGCAGAACAAGCACUUCUGCUGAUAUAAAUUGAGUUAAUUUGGAAUUACAAAGUGAACUUCAUAAUAUCAGAAUUCAAAAUGUUUUGGGUUUUGUUUGGCUGACAUUUCACAUGGAGAAUACAUGAAUAGAAAUCUAGGUACUGGUAGUCACACUUGUAUUUAAAAUGCAAUCAUUAAUGCUCUUUCUAGUAUUCAUAAUCCAUGUUUUUUUGUAUAAAUUCCUGUUUGGACCAAAGGCUGUAUAAGUAAUACAUGCAGAUGUCAUGCUUAAUACAGAUAUCAGCCUCCGUACUGUUGUACCAGAUGAGUGGACGGAAGUACGCUGUCACAUAUCCAUGGUUACCGUUGGUGUGGUUACUUAGGUGGCACAGUAUUGUACAUCGUAACACAAGUUUUAUAUUUGUAUUUCUCUUCAUACAUAAUAUUGCACACAUUUUUAUCAACCGUUUUAAUAGAUUUAUAUAUUUGUGUCUGCUUCAGCUUGGGUGUCACAGUGUUGUAGACUGCUAGAUAAUGCAAUCUACAAAGCUAAUCGUGUGUAGACAAAGUCGCCUUUCAUAUUUGGAACAUUCUUGUAUGUAAGUCAUGUCCCCAUGAGCCUUCAUUGUCUGGUAAACAGAAACCGUUGUCAUAGUGAUGUACAUACACAUAACAUGAUUUGUCACUAAUUCAAAGUUUCAUAACAUUACUGUAGACAGUUUUCCUGGAACAGAUGGUUGUAAACUAUGUAAGAAUUGGAUAUGAGAACAUGUUUGGUUGUUGCUAAAUGUAUUAACUGGAAAUGAAAGUAAAUUUUGUUGAAAUACAGUGCUGAGAGGAAAAUUAGCUUGUGACAAUGUGAGCAUAAGGAUGCCGGGAUAAUGUGAGAAUGUCGUGAUGUGAAAUGUCACAUGACAUCGUGCUAGGCUAAGGGUAAUGUAGUUUGAUAUGGUGAUGUGAGAAUGUGACUAGAUGUCUAAUAGUACAUGUUGCUAGGUUGAUGUGGACAUGUUGCUAGGGUGAUGUUGACAUGUUGCUAUAUUGAUGCUGACAUGUUGCCAGGUUGAUGCAGACAUAUCACUAUACUGAUGUGGGCAUAUUGCUAGGUUGAUGUUGACAUGUUGCUAGGGUGAUGCAGGUAUAUUGCUAGGUUGAUGUGGACAUGUUGCUAGGUUGAUGUGGACAUGUUGCUAGGUUGAAGUGACAUGUUACUAGGUUGAAUUGACAUGUUACUAGGUUGAAUUGGACAUGUUGCUGGGUUGACGUGACAUGUUACUAGGUUGAUGUGGACAUGUUACUAGGUUGAAGUGACAUGUUAAGAGGUUGAUGUGGACAUGUUACUAGGUUGAAGUGACAUGUUACUAGGUUGAUGUGGACAGGUUACUAGGUUGAAGUGACAUGUUACUAGGUUGAUGUAGACAUGUUACUAGGUUGAUGUGGACAUGUUGCUGGGCUGAUUACUUGUGUUGCUUUGACAAUGUGAACAUGUCGAUUGGUGAUGUGGAGAUUUUCCAGAUCCUAGGAUGAUGAAUUGAAGUGACCAACAUAUAUUUACUCAAAUUCAAAUGAUGAUUAUAUAAGGUGUGUUGUACCAGCCUUAAGUGAUGAGUCAACAAUAUUAAAACAUAUUACAGUUACAGCUGCUAGCUUGUGGAUAAUUAUAGUACAUUUGUACUUGAGACUUUUUUUAAAUGUUCAUAAAUUAAUACAGUAAUUUCAGAUAAAAGUAAAGUUUUGUUCAUGACAUUGAUUCCAUAAGAUUUCAUCUCCAAAAAAUAUUAAGAAUCUUUCUGGUCAAUAUUACACCGGCUAUCCCAGAGUGUGUUAGGAUGUUGUGUGUUUGGAGAGUAAGGAUGUGUCGGUUGAUAAGGUGACUCAUAUGUGAUGAUGAGAGUGACAGGGUGAUGUGACGAGGGUUACGAUGUAUGUAUAUCACAGAGUGACAGGGUGAUGUGACGAGGGUUACGAUGUAUGUAUGUAUAUCACAGAGUGACAAUAUAUGUGCUUUCUUGAUUCACAAAGCUGUAAUUAACAUGUCAUUAAUGCAUUAUUCACUUUGGUUUUAUUUACUACAAUAUAUUGCAGCAACAUCCAUUUGCCAACAUUUUCAUGUCAAAUAUAGAGGGUGAAUCACCAUGGUUACCUGUAGCUGACCAAUCAUUGCUCAUAAUUUUGGAAGAACUGUGUUUGUUGUCGAGCUUUGACUAAAUUCAUGUCCAUCCUGAUGAUCGGGUGCUUCACAUAAAAAGGAGUGCAAUUCUCUGCUGGAUUAUACUCCUAGUGUAACAGUUCAACUGAUUAACAAAAUUCAUGCAUGGAUUUUAGGAGUGUAAUGUCAUGAUCUGUUUUAAUUAUUUUUCAGUACAUGUAAUUUGAUUUUUAUGUGAAAAGAGGGACAUUUUAAAAUGUCAACAGUAUCCAGUUUUACUCCUAUACAACAGCGCUUCACAGUUAUAGAUAUUUCUUUGCUUCACUUGGUUAUUUGCAGGAUGUUUUAGAGUAAAGUGGCAUUAAUAAAUACUGUUUAUGUAAGAACUAACGGUGAGAUUUGUAAAACUGAGACCAAGUAGCUGUUGAUUAGAAUUUCUCCAUUUUGUAGUUCGAAUGUUACCUCGUAGAAAUUCUCUACUAUGAUUUUGCCAAAAGGCUGUUUGUGUACAUGGUGUCACUGACUUGCUUGUGCAGUGAGGACAAUAAUACAGGGUCACACAUGUAAAAUUGUGAUAGAGAAAUUCUUAACUAAACCAAAAUACAAGAACAAAAAAAUAUAGAAGAUUGGAAUUUGAACUAAUGCAUAAGAAUCUCCCAAACUUGACAAAUGUGUUAAGUACAGUACGGGUAUGUAACACUCGAUAGAAGUUGACCGUUUGUUGAAAUUUUGAAAAUUGUUUUUCAGAUAAGCAUUUUCAAUGUGCAUGUAUACAGUACUACACAUAUACAAAAUAUAAAAUUAUAUGCAUUCUUGGUGCCCCAUUGGUUUCUGUGAUUAGAACUACAAUUUUAUACAAAACUCAUCAAUGUCGUUAUUAUAUCCAAGGACAGUGUCGUAUCUUUGUAGUUUCAUACAGUAAUUUCUUUAUAUUUUUAUGCAUUUGUGAUUUCAUAGUCAUUGUAUUCAAAUAUUACACCCAUUUAAAACAUGAAAUAUUGUUUAGCCAUUACUUUACAAGGAUGGCAAAUUCCGCUGUAUAGGUUGUAUAGGUCAAUGGAAUUAGAUUAUCCUGCUAAAAUUCGUUAUAGUUCUUUAGCAUUCUCUGCUCUACCUGGUCGACUGAAUUCACUACUCCUUGGUUUAUCCUUCAGUUAUCAACAAUAUUUCUGGAUGUAUUAAAUCUGAUUUCCUUUUCAUCCAGGCUGCUUAUUUUUCUCUCGAUUUGUUGGAAAUGAAUGCCAGAACAGAUUCUCUUACAAAAAAAAAAAAUGACUGACUUGCUAAAGGAGGAUAUGCCUUGUAUGAUUUUGGGGAACAGAACACCCUUGGGAUAAUGUAUGUAGGUCAUUGGGCGUCAGGAGAGGAUUGUGACAGAGGUGUAUGACGUCAACACUUCUACUGGUGUGUGUCCAGUAAGGACAUAUUCCUGAUAAACCGCUAGUCACUGUGUUGUAGUAGUCCCAUACUUGUGUUGACAACAGAUAAAUUCAUUUGACUCAAAUCCUGAAAUUUCAAAAUAGCUCACAUUUGUUGGUGGCUGUAAAUAAAAAGGCUUAAAGUGAAUGGAGAAAAGAUCAUGCCUGUACCAAAAUAUUUGACUUGAUGCAUUUUUCUCUAAUUUGUUUAUUUUCUUAGCUUAAUUUUUCCACCUCCUACAAGAAUGAGAUGACACUUUUAGCGCUCGAUAUCAUAAUGUUGUUCAAAUACUGAAGCUUCUGGGUUCUCCAUAUGUAUAGCUGGAACCAAGAGCAUAUUGUAUGUAGGAUACAAUAUCAUGUGUGUGUAUUUUCAUGCUGAAAGUAUGAAGAUCUCUGUUCCUGAUCAUACGACCAAAACUUAGAUAUGCAAGAUUUAUGUUAGAUGUACAAUUAACUUGCACUGUAAAACGAAAUUGGAGACAUUUGAUGCUUUUAAUUGUAUGAAUGUCUAUAGGUAAUGCAGUUAACAUGUAUUUGGAGAAGUUUAAAAUAUGGUACCGUUGUAAAACAAAUUAUGAAUAGAAAGAAGAUAGAGGAGAUACUCAGUAUGUAACAAUUCUUUGUUUAUUAUGAAGGAAUAACCUACCGUACCUGGAUACUAAAUUGUCUGUAAACAUGUUAGAAUUUGUAUCCAGUCAUUAAUAUAAGCAUCUCUUAAAAAAGGUUGAUAUCUAUUUUUUGUAAGCUUUUUAGGUGUAUGCCAAAUGAUUACAAAUUGGUUUAAUAUAUAAUGUUCCAGAUAUCUGUAUACUAUUCACAUUUAUAUGGAACAAAUUGGUUCCUAUGAUAUACAUACAGUGUAUAUAUUGGACAUUUGAAUUAGCUAAGAGUCUGGAGGAAACGUUUCUGUCAGGAGGCCGAGUGCAAUCUAUAUAUGACUACAGAGGUAUAACUAUAACUAUAUGUAUCCCACAUGUAUUAUUGUACGUCAGAGACUUGUGUGUCCUCCACUUCCUUCUGUCGUUCAUGUUGUAUUGUCAAUAUCUUUGUGUGUAACUCACAAUCUCUGUCAAGAAAUCAUCUUACAUUAAACUUAUAAAAGAU